CGUUGGUGUUCCGUAGAAAGAGGACAGUUGGUUGUCGGCUGCUGAGCUCCUGUCGAAAUUCAGACCCUAUCAAGAAUGGAUCCCUCAGCUCCCUGGCCCUGGGUCGUCAUUUCGAUUUCUGUAGUCGUGGGCGAGACGGGAGACGAAGACGAAGGAGAAUGAAGGCGAGAAGACGGAGACUAGUGACAAAUAAUCCAAGAAAUCCCAAGAGGUAAAACUCAACGCUGCGAUGCCUGACAGCAGUAAUCCACAACGAGCCAUCAGCCGCUCGUUAGAUCAUCGCCACUAGUGAUGACGUCAUUCUCACGACUCAUGACGUCACGGCGUUGCUGCUUAGCGUCAUUGUGACUUAAUCUUUCUCCACCAGGCUCGAAUCACGACUUGAAAAGAUAAUCCCUUUUCCUGGCCUUCAAUCAAAAGCAAUCUUGAUGUAAGAUCAAAGCACGAACGAAGAGAAGAGGUGGAAUACCCUUUCUGAUAUAUAUAUAGUACAAUACGAAAAGAUGAAUGUUUUGAGGGAAGGAAGAAAUAUGGAAGGCAGGCGAAACUUUGAGCUUUCAGAUCUGCUGUGCCAUUUGCAAAAACGAGGACUUAGCUCUUCGGAGGAAUGGUAUUAGAAGUUUGUAAUGCCUGAUCAAUGACACUUGCCAGGUUACUUCUUCCCGCGCUCCGGGCCAGGGCUAAAAAAUGUUAAGUUGUCAGUCCCAUUGGGAUUAGUUAUGGUAAAAAAAUGGAUCUCCCGAAGGAGAAAAACCCAGUUUUUUGGCAUUCAUGCCAAAGUUCUAUAUUCUCUAUUGAACCAUUUAGGUUUUAUCUCUUAUACAUGUAUGAAAAUAGGACUAGUUCUACGAAUGACGGGACUUCUCAAGCAGCAGUUAUCAGAUUAAGAACUUGGAUAGUUUUGUUAGACUAUUCAUGGUUUUGCGAUGAGAACUACUUUACAAAGGGAAACUGAACAUACGUGAAAUAAUCCUUUUGAAAUUCACACAAAGAGAACAUGAUAGAAGUGACCAUUUAAACAGAGGGUAAUAUACCAAACGCUAGAACGUUUAAUAUUGCAUAAUCUAAUGUCACAGCUCCUUUGACCAUGAAUGAAUGUAAGAGGGAAUUCAGAUAUAAUAUUAAAGAUUGAUUAUUGAUUUUGUUGAAUGAUGUAAAUAAAGAAUUUGUGGAAAUAAUGGUACUGUGAGAAGACAACACUAUUCAGAGGGCCGUUUAAAACCAGAAUUUAAGGGCGACUACAUCUGAAUUAAAAUUCACAUUCAUCUCAGAAUCUGGUCGAAUCUUCUUAAGACCAGAGACAUUUCUUCCUCGAGAUUUCGUUGAAAUCCGGCUUGACAGAUAUCCUUUCAUUCACGCAGAGAAAUGAUUCCUUUGGAUACGUAAUUUUCGUCCAACAUGAUACACGGACAUUGAAAAUAUAGGUCCUGCCUCAUUUGUUAUGUUAUGCGACUUUCACACUGAAAAAAAUGGGAAUUGUCUCCUACAGAAUACUGUAUUCAAAUACAGUUUAUGGAAGACCAAAAGCAUUCCAUAAAUUCUCAGAAAUUACUGAUCUCAAAUAUUUAAAAUUAAGAAUAAAGAUAUUUUACACGAA